GGAAACGAGGGCAAUCUGGCUGUGUUUUCUGCCGUGCCAGUGAUCACCAGGGUGGACUUGGCUGAUCUGGUCAGCUAGCAGGAGUCUGCUUCCUCCCUCAGUACCCCAUGUGUGCCCUGCCCGAGCCAAGGGCUCAGUGUAAGAGGAACAGAGGAAGACCACUCAUAGGGCAAGGUUACAGGGCCAGCUACAUCCCCCUGACAGAACCUCCAAACAAACGUGCUGCCAAGGAAGAGGUACGAAUGCUGGUCCUCUGCCAACCGUCCUUUGAUUCAGUUUGGGAUCCUAGUCCAUGGGCUUUCAUC
rnacentral:snRNA from 1 species